rnacentral:rRNA from 1 species
AACGAACGCUGGCGGCAUGCCUAACACAUGCAAGUCGAACGAGACCUUCGGGUCUAGUGGCGCACGGGUGCGUAACGCGUGGGAAUCUACCCUUGGGUUCGGAAUAACUUCUCGAAAGGGAUGCUAAUACCGGAUGAUGUCGUAAGACCAAAGAUUUAUCGCCCAGGGAUGAGCCCGCGUAGGAUUAGCUAGUUGGUGAGGUAAAGGCUCACCAAGGCGACGAUCCUUAGCUGGUCNGAGAGGAUGAUCAGCCACACUGGGACUGAGACACGGCCCAGACUCCUACGGGAGGCAGCAGUGGGGAAUAUUGGACAAUGGGCGAAAGCCUGAUCCAGCAAUGCCGCGUGAGUGAUGAAGGCCUUAGGGUUGU